UACGUAGGGACCGAGCGUUUGUCCGGAAUCAUUGGGCGUAAAGAGCGUGUAGGCGGCCUGUUAAGUCUUGCGUGAAAUCUCGGGGCUCAACCCCGAGCGGUCGUGAGAAACUGGCAGGCUAGAGUGCGGGAGAGGAGAGUGGAAUUCCUGGUGUAGCGGUGAAAUGCGCAGAUAUCAGGAAGAACACCCGUGGCGAAGGCGGCUCUCUGGAACGCAACU
rnacentral:rRNA from 1 species